AAUGAACGCUGGCGGCAGGCCUAACACAUGCAAGUCGAGCGGCAGCACAGUAAGAGCUUGCUCCUACGGUUGGCGACUGGCGGACGGGUGAGGCAUACAUCGCAAUCUACUUUGUCGUGGGGGAUAACGUGGGAACACUUAUGCUAAUACCGCAUACGACCUACGGGUGAAAGCAGGGGAUCUUCGGACCUUGCGCGAUUGAUUGAGCCGAUGUCGGAUUAGCUAGUUGGCGGGGUAAAGGCCCACCAAGGCGACGAUCCGUAGCUGGUCUGAGAGGAUGAUCAGCCACACUGGAACUGAGACACGGUCCAGACUCCUACGGGAGGCAGCAGUGGGGAAUAUUGGACAAUGGGCGCAAGCCUGAUCCAGCCAUACCGCGUGGGUGAAGAAGGCCUUCGGGUUGUAAAGCCCUGUUGUUGGGAAAGAAAAGCAGCAGGUUAAUACCCCGCUGUUCUGACGGUACCCAAAGAAUAAGCACCGGCUAACUUCGUG
rnacentral:rRNA from 1 species